rnacentral:rRNA from 1 species
UACGUAGGGGCCGAGCGUUGUCCGGAGUUAUUGGCGUAAAGCGCGCGCAGGCGGCCUCGCGCGCCCGACGUGAAGCCCGCUUAACCGGGAGGUCGUUGGACGCGGCUUGAGGCGGAGAGUCGUGGAAUCCGGUGUAGUGUGAAUGCGUAGAUAUCGAGACACAGUGCGAGCGCUUCUGACGACACUGACGCUGAUGCGCGAGCU